rnacentral:rRNA from 1 species
AGAGUGCGAACUGGUGAGUAACACGUAGGUGAUCUACCUUGACGCCUGGGAUAGCGUGUGGAAACACAGGGUAAGACCGGAUGAGCCCCUGUACUUGCGGGUAGAGGGGGAAAGGUGCUAUGGCACCGNCUUAAGAUGAGCCUGCGUACCAUUAGUUAGUUGGUGGGGUAAAGGCCUACCAAGGCGACGAUGGGUAGCCGGCCUGAGAGGGUGAUCGGCCACACUGGGACUGAGACACGGCCCAGACUCCUACGGGAGGCAGCAGCUAAGAAUCUUCCGCAAUGGACGAAAGUCUGACGGAGCGACGCCGCGUGAACGAAGAAGGCCGGAAGGUUGUAAAGUUCUUUUGCGGGUGAAGAAUAAGGCGAGGAGGGAAUGCCUCGCUGAUGACGUUAGCCUGUGAAUAAGCCCCGGCUAGUUACGUGCCAGCAGCCGCGGUAACACGUAAGGGGCGAGCGAUGUUCGGAAUUAUUGGGCGUAAAGGGCGUGUAGGCUGUUUAGUCAGCCUGGUGUGAA